rnacentral:rRNA from 1 species
AUACGUAGGUCCCGAGCGUUGUCCGGAUUUAUUGGGCGUAAAGCGAGCGCAGGCGGUUUAAUAAGUCUGAAGUUAAAGGCAGUGGCUUAACCAUUGUUCGCUUUGGAAACUGUUAAACUUGAGUGCAGAAGGGGAGAGUGGAAUUCCAUGUGUAGCGGUGAAAUGCGUAGAUAUAUGGAGGAACACCAGUGGCGAAGGCGGCUCUCUGGUCUGUAACUGACGCUGAGGCUCGAAAGCGUGGGGAGC